CUUUAUGCCGCUGGACUUGGGCCUCUCUUUCUCUCACAAGACCAGCGCCCUUUUGUGACGCUCAGUGUUCAAAGUCGAUUUACCUGCAACUCUCAGUCUCGGCGACCUCUUGUUGCCAUCUUCAUUCAGCCAACACUCUGACAGACACCAAAUAGGCAUCUCCCGUGCCUCUGUCUUGAUGUUAUCUUGGGAUGCUGUCUAUUUAUCCAGUAGUUGCGCCUUGCUUAUUUACGACCUCAAGGCGAAUUGUUAGGAUGGCUGCAACGGCCAGAAAUCCGAGCAAAUCGUUUGAAUCCAUCGCUUUAAAGCCUCCUUUGCACCCUACCUAUGAUCUCAAGGGAAUCAUCAAAUUAGCCCUUGCUGAAGAUGCUGGGGGUCAAGGUGAUGUUACAAGCAUGGCCACCAUUCCUAUUGACAUGGAAGUGGAAGCUAAUUUCUUGGCAAAGGAAGAUGGUAUCAUAGCCGGAAUUGCACUUGCAGAGAUGGUAUUUGAAGAGGUUGAUCCUUCUCUGAAGGUGGAUUGGUCUCAAAAAGAUGGAGAUAAUGUUCAUAAAGGACUACAGUUUGGAAAAGUUUAUGGACGGGCACACAACAUCGUUGUAGCUGAAAGGGUAGUGCUAAACUUUAUGCAGAGGAUGAGUGGAAUAGCAACUCUAACAAAGGAAAUGGCAGAUGCUGCAUAUCCUGCGUGUAUUUUAGAGACGAGGAAAACUUCUCCGGGUUUACGUUUGGUGGAUAAGUGGGCGGUACUUAUUGGUGGAGGGCGGAACCAUAGAAUGGGUUUAUUUGAUAUGGUCUUGAUAAAAGAUAAUCACAUAUCCAUAGCUGGAGGUGUCACGAGUGCCAUUAAAUCUGUUGACAUGUAUUUGGAGCAAAAGAAACUUCAAAUGGAGGUUGAGGUUGAAACCAGGACACUCGAGGAAGUACACGAGGUAUUACGUUACGCAUCUCAAACAAAGACGUCCUUGACUCGGAUAAUGUUGGAUAACAUGGUUGUGCCACUACAAAAUGGAGAUGUAGACGUAUCUAUGCUUAAAGAAGCUGUGGAUGUGAUUAAUGGGAGAUUUGAGACUGAGGCAUCAGGCAAUGUUACUCUUGAAACGAUACACAAAAUUGGACAGACUGGAGUGACCUACAUUUCCAGUGGUGCACUAACACAUUCUGUAAAAGCACUUGACAUCUCCCUCAAGAUUGAUACAGAGUUGGCCCUUCUAGUUGGAAGGCGAACGAAACGAGCAUGACUGUCCAUCUGAUCACAUUUUUUCCUCUCGUUGAUGCAACCAAUCAACUGCUGUAAAUAGUAAUGGGUGCAUGCCGGCCGGGGCUUGUCUGAGCUCUCUCCAGAUCCAAAGACCUCUACCGUCAGUAAAAUGGGAGAGGUGCUAAUCAGCUACAAGGGAUGGACCGUAUGGAUGUACCUCAAUCAAUUUUUAUGCCUGACAGAUUUGACAAAAUUGAUGGAAAAUAUAUUUUAGUAUAAUGUUUAUAACA